rnacentral:rRNA from 1 species
UACAGAGGGUGCGAGCGUUAAUCGGAAUUACUGGGCGUAAAGCGUGCGUAGACGGUUAUUUAAGUCAGAUGUGAAAGCCCCGGGCUCAACCUGGGAAUUGCAUUUGAGACUGAAUAGCUAGGGUGCGGUAGAGGGAAGCGGAAUUUCCGGUGUAGCGGUGAAAUGCGUAGAUAUCGGAAGGAACAUCAGUGGCGAAAGCGGCUUCCUGGACCAGUACCGACGUUCAGGCACGAAAGCGUGGGGAGCAAACAGG